rnacentral:rRNA from 1 species
GACGGAGGGUGCAAGCGUUGUUCGGAAUUACUGGGCGUAAAGGGCGCGUAGGCGGUCUGUUAAGUUCGGUGUGAAAGCCCCCGGCUCACCUGGGGAACUGCGCCGGAAACCGACAGACUCGAGUACCGGAGAGGAGGGUGGAAUUCCUGGUGUAGCGGUGAAAUGCGUAGAUAUCAGGAAGAACACCCGUGGCGAAGGCGGCUCUCUGGGACGGUACUGACGCUGAGACGCGAAAGCGUGGGGAGCGAACAGG